rnacentral:rRNA from 1 species
UACGGGGGGAGCAAGCGUUGUUCGGAUUUACUGGGCGUAAAGGGCGCGUAGGCGGUCGUGACAAGUCACUUGUGAAAUCUCCGGGCUUAACUCGGAACGGUCAAGUGAUACUGUCGGACUAGAGUACAGAAGGGGCAACUGGAAUUCUCGGUGGUAGCGGUGAAAUGCGUAGAUAUCGAGAGGAACACCUGCGGCGAAGGCGGGUUGCUGGGCUGAUACUGACGCUGAGGAGCGAAAGCGUGGGGAGCGAACAGG